rnacentral:piRNA from 1 species
UACAAUGUGGAGGGAGGCUAAGG